UCCAUGUUGGUUAGGGUGUUCUCUAACUCCCAACCUCAGGUGAUCUGUCUGCCUCGGCCUCCCAAAGUGCUGGGAUUACAGGCGUGAGCCACUCCACCCAGCCUACAAGGUGGUGAUUUCAUUUCCUUUGGGUAUAAACUGAGAUUGCUGGAUCCUACGGUGGUUCUAUUUUUAAUUUCUUUGGGAACCUCCAUAUUGUUCUCCAUAAUGGCUGCACCAAACUACACUCCCACCAACAGCACAUAAGGGUUCCCUUGUCUCUACACUCUGGCCAACAGUUAUCUUUUGUCUUUUUGAUAAUAGCUAUCCAUGGAUGUGAGGUGACAUUUCAUAGUGGUUUUGAUGUUUUAUUUUUAUAUACCUGUUGGCCAUUUUUAUGUCUUCUUUGAAGAAAUAUCUAUUCAGGUCCUUUGUCCAUUUUAAAAAUUGGGUUAUAUGUUUUCUUGUUAUUGAGUUGUAUGAGUUCUUUGUAAGCUUUGGAUACUAACAACUUACCAGAUAUAUGGUUUGCAAAUAUUUUUUUCCCAAUCUGUAGGUUGCCUUUUCAUUGUGGUGAUUGUUUCCUUUGCUGUGCAGAAGCUUUUUAGUUUGAUGCAGUCUCACUUAUUUUUACUUUUGUAGCCUCAGCUUUUGCUAUGAUAUGCAAAAUAAUCAUUGCCAAGCCCAAUCCUACAAUCCGAUGCAGAAAAAAAUUAUAAAACUGAUGAUGGCCUCAUAUACCAAGCAUCAUAAAGUAUGAGGCAUGAAAAGGAGGGAGAGGAGAAUAAAGAGAAGAAAAAGAAGAAAGACUCACAAAAAAAUACUAAAAAUGGAAAGUCUAUGAGAAGAGGAUAAAAGGCAGUGGCUUAUGUCUGUAUUCUUAGCAUUUUGGGAAGGGAAGCAGGAGGAUCACCUGAGCCCAGGAGUUUGAGACCAGCCUGGGCAACAUAGUGAGAGACCCUGCCUCUACAAAUCAGUUUUUAAAAAUUGAUUUUUAUUUUUUGACUACAAGUGGCGUACACCUGUAGUCCCAACUACUUGGGAGGCUGGGGUGGGAGGAUCCCUUGAGCCCAGCAGGUCAAGGCUGCAAUGAGCCAAGAUUGCACCACUGCACUCCAGCCUAGGUGAUAGAGUAAAAACCUGUCUCAAGGCAAAAAAACAAAAAAAGAAAAAAAAAGGAAACAUUACUUGAUUCCCCAUCAAUGUUGAACAACUUUCACAGUAAGCGUUAUAAUAUUAUGGCAAGAGCAGCUAUAAUCUAUCCAUUUAGCAAAAAUGUAUGUGCAUACAUGUGUUAAUGAAGUCUCAAACUGUAGAGAAAGACCUUACCAACUGUGGACCUCAUUUAAUUCUUCUAAAACAACAGCAUAAUGAAGAUUAUGGUUAAGAGUUCUGGCUUUGAAGUCAAACUGUUGGGUUUGAAUCCCAGUUCGACUUCUGACUGUGACAGAGAUUCCUAUUUGUUUUCCAUUAUCCAUUCUCGCCUUCUUCCCUGAAUUUUAGCUGUAUGAGUCACCUUCCAGUCAGACUACAUUUCCCAGAUUCUUUUGCAACUGGGUAUGGCCAUUGGACCACAUUCUGGCCAUUGAAAUAUGAGCCCAACUUCCAGGUUAUGCCCUUAAAAGGGAAGGUUGUGUCUUCCACUUCCUCCCAUUUCUUCCAUUGGAAUGCAGAGGUGGCAUUGCUCCAUCUUUGACAAGGUGGAAUAGGGUAUUCCCUAGAGAAGGCAGAGCAACAAGAAAGAAGAAACCUGGGUCCCCAACAAGACUCAGCUGUCUUAUCAGCCCUGGACUGCUCAUGAUGAGACUAACAUGAGAGAGAAACUCCUAUUUUGUCUAAGCCACUGUGACAUUAUGCCUUAGUAGUCAAAUGGAUUUCCUUAAAAGUAACAGUGAUUGGGCUGGGCACAGUGGCUCAUGCCUGUAAUCCCAGCACUUUGGGAGGCCAAGGCGGGCAGAUCACGAGGUCAAGAGAUUGAGACCAUGCUGGCCAACAUGGUGAAACCCCGUCUCUACUAAGAAUACAAAAAAUAGCUGGGUUUGGUGGUGCACGCCUGUAGUCCCAGCUACUUGGGAAGCUAAGGCAGGAGAAUCGCUGGAACCCAGGAGGCUGAGGUUGCAGUGAGCAGAGAUCGCGCCACUGCAUUCCAGCCUGGCGACAGAGUGAGACUC
rnacentral:lncRNA from 10 species